rnacentral:lncRNA from 1 species
GCAAAGAACAAAUGUCCAUUUCACACCCAGGUGGAAAGGCCCAUUAGAGUCUACCAGUGAGGAAAUCAUUUUCUAAGGGUGAUUACACACGCAGAUGUCAAAACCCUCAGUAAAGCUCAGAGAUCGUUAUUUUUAGUCCCCACUUAAAAAUGGAGAAACUGAGACUUCGCGAGAUCAAGCAAUUUAGGCAAGCCCACACAACAGGUCAACUCCAAACAGGCUUUUUCCUUUGGAUGAGUCCAGCAAUAGAACUGACUACAUAGAUUCCAAGACCUGAAGUCAGAAAACGGAUGCGGACCUCUUCCAACACCUCCUCUCCUUGCCUGACUUGCUGGAUGGGUGGUGCCUCCCGCAACCCUUGGCUUCUGAGUCCUCAAAGGAGAAGACUG